CAAGUACAAGAGCAUAAAGUUCCUCAAACUUUAGUUUCUUUUAAGGAAGAGAGUAACCUAGUGUCUGAUCUCUCUGGUAUUGAGAGAAAAGCUUUAGAAGAACUGAAGCAGUUGGUUCAAGAAGCUCUCAAUACUCACCAGUUUAGCACUGCACCAAAAAAAGACGAGAGACAAAGUGUUAUUGUCACCCAAGAAGCACAAACAACUCAAGAAACCUCCAAAAAUGAAGCAUCAGCAUCAGAAUCUGAUGUUAGUACUGAGAUUAAACCACCAGCAGAGACUCAGGAAUCAAAAGUUGAAGAAACCCCAGAAAAAGAAUCACAAGAAGUGGCAAAAGAAGAGCAAAAGGCUGCACCUUCACCAGAGGAGAUCACUAUAUGGGGGAUCCCUCUUCUGAAAGAUGAUAGAAGUGAUGUGGUUCUCUUGAAGUUCUUGAGGGCAAGGGAUUUUAAGGUAAGCGAUGCAUUUGUAAUGAUCAAGAACACAAUUCAAUGGAGG
rnacentral:lncRNA from 1 species